rnacentral:rRNA from 1 species
AUUGAACGCUGGCGGCAUGCUUUACACAUGCAAGUCGAACGGUAACAGGCCGCAAGGUGCUGACGAGUGGCGAACGGGUGAGUAAUGCAUCGGAACGUGCCCAGUCGUGGGGGAUAACUACUCGAAAGAGUAGCUAAUACCGCAUACGAUCUAUGGAUGAAAGCGGGGGACCGUGAGGCCUCGCGCGAUUGGAGCGGCCGAUGUCAGAUUAGGUAGUUGGUGGGGUAAAGGCUCACCAAGCCAACGAUCUGUAGCUGGUCUGAGAGGACGACCAGCCACACUGGGACUGAGACACGGCCCAGACUCCUACGGGAGGCAGCAGUGGGGAAUUUUGGACAAUGGGCGCAAGCCUGAUCCAGCAAUGCCGCGUGCAGGAAGAAGGCCUUCGGGUUGUAAACUGCUUUUGUACGGAACGAAACGGCUCUGGUUAAUACCCGGGGCUAAUGACGGUACCGUAAGAAUAAGCACCGGCUAACUACGUG